rnacentral:pre_miRNA from 1 species
AAAAAGGCAAACCCUGAGUUUGCAUGUCCAACUUUGACUGUCCGUCUUAUAUGAAAUUUUUUUAUAAUUCGUAUUUUUAUUGGUAUUAGAUAAUAAAACAUGAUUAAUACUUUGUGCGUGACUUGUUUUUUUUAUUUUUUUUCAUAAUUGUUAAAUAUUAGCCACGGAAACC